rnacentral:rRNA from 1 species
GGGAAUCUUGCGCAAUGGGCGAAAGCCUGACGCAGCCAUGCCGCGUGAAUGAUGAAGGUCUUAGGAUUGUAAAAUUCUUUCACCGGGGACGAUAAUGACGGUACCCGGAGAAGAAGCCCCGGCUAACUUCGUGCCAGCAGCCGCGGUAAUACGAAGGGGGCUAGCGUUGCUCGGAAUUACUGGGCGUAAAGGGAGCGUAGGCGGACAUUUAAGUCAGGGGUGAAAUCCCGGGGCUCAACCUCGGAAUUGCCUUUGAUACUGGGUGUCUUGAGUAUGAGAGAGGUGUGUGGAACUCCGAGUGUACAGGUGAAAUUCGUAGAUAUUCGGAAGAACACCAGUGGCGAAGGCGACACACUGGCUCAUUACUGACGCUGAGGCUCGAAAGCGUGGGGAGCAAACAGA